CGUGAGCAAUCUGCCUUGGAGUGGGGAAUAACGGUUGGAAACAGCCGCUAAUACCGCAUGAUACAGCUAUCCCGCAUGGGGGUUGGCUGUCAAAGAUUUAUCGCUCUGAGAUGAGCUCGCGUCUGAUUAGCUUGUUGGCGGGGUAACGGCCCACCAAGGCGACGAUCAGUAGCCGGACUGAGAGGUUGGCCGGCCACAUUGGGACUGAGACACGGCCCAGACUCCUACGGAAGGCAGCAG
rnacentral:rRNA from 1 species